rnacentral:rRNA from 1 species
AUGCGCCUUGCCAGCCCGCUCAGAAACUCAAAGGAAUUGACGGGGGCCCGCACAAGCGGUGGAGUAUGUGGUUUAAUUCGAUGCAACGCGAAGAACCUUACCUAGGUUUGACAUCCGGAAACCUCCCGAAAAGGAAGGGUGCCCUUCGGGGAAUUCCGAGACAGGUGCUGCAUGGCUGUCGUCAGCUCGUGCCGUGAGGUGUUGGGUUAAGUCCCGCAACGAGCGCAACCCUAUUGCCAGUUGCUACCAGGUAAUGCUGGGCACUCUGGUGAGACUGCCCCGGUUAACGGGGAGGAAGGUGGGGACGACGUCAAGUCAUCAUGGCCCUUACGCCUAGGGCUACACACGUACUACAAUGGCGCAUACAAAGGGCAGCGAUACCGCGAGGUGGAGCCAAUCCCAAAAAGUGCGUCCCAGUCCGGAUUGCAGUCUGCAACUCGACUGCAUGAAGUUGGAAUCGCUAGUAAUUCGAGAUCAGCAUGCUCGGGUGAAUGCGUUCCCGGGCCUU